rnacentral:lncRNA from 1 species
UUUGUAUAGAAAGGAUCAUACCCUAUGAAAGACUCCAACAGCUAAAACAGGACUGAGAUGGAGCUCAGGUGGAUGACAAGCCCUUAUUGUAUGCAGUGGCGCAGUGGCCAGAAGAGUGAGCCAGAAGCUGGGGACCACUGGUUUGACUCCCUUCUCAGCAGGAGAAGAUGCAAACCUGCAGCAUCAGGGAGUUUGCUUAAGCAAUCAUCGAGAAAAGAACCGAUUCAACCACCACCCCCAACACCCAACCCUGAAAGAAAUACUGCGGCAAGCUGACGUCAGAAGCCAGGGCUUGUAGCUGGUGGUUCUCAGCAGCAGUUUGCAGCGCUGUGCUGAAUUUCUGUGCUCUCCUGUGCAGUAAAUCAUGCAUGCUUCAUUCCGACAGAAGAGGGCCUCCCAGCUUAACCUUUAACAAGACAGUUGG